rnacentral:rRNA from 1 species
CAUGCAAGUCGAGGGGUAACAUAGAGUGCUUGCACUUUGAUGACGACCGGCGCACGGGUGCGUAACGCGUAUAGAAUCUACCUUAUACUGAGGGAUAGCCUUUGGAAACGAAGAUUAAUACCUCAUAGUAUGUUAGUUUGGCAUCAAGNAAACAUUAAAGGUUACGGUAUAAGAUGACUAUGCGUCCUAUUAGCUAGAUGGUGUGGUAACGGCACACCAUGGCAACGAUAGGUAGGGGCCCUGAGAGGGGGAUCCCCCACACUGGUACUGAGACACGGACCAGACUCCUACGGGAGGCAGCAGUGAGGAAUAUUGGACAAUGGAGGCAACUCUGAUCCAGCCAUGCCGCGUGCAGGAAGACUGCCCUAUGGGUUGUAAACUGCUUUUAUACAGGAAGAAACCGCUCUACGUGUAGAGCUCUGACGGUACUGUAAGAAUAAGGAUCGGCUAACUCCGUGCCAGCAGCCGCGGUAAUACGGAGGAUCCAAGCGUUAUCCGGAAUCAUUGGGUUUAAAGGGUCCGUAGGUUGAUAAUUAAGUCAGAGGUGAAAUCUUGCAGCUCAACUGUAAAAUUGCCUUUGAUACUGGUUAUCUUGAGUUAUUAUGAAGUAGUUAGAAUAUGUAGUGUAGCGGUGAAAUGCAUAGAUAUUACAUAGAAUACCAAUUGCGAAGGCAGAUUACUAAUAAUCAACUGACACUGAUGGACGAAAGCGUGGGGAGCGAACAGGAUUAGAUACCCUGGUAGUCCACGCCGUAAACGAUGGAUACUAGCUGUUCGGACUUCGGUCUGAGUGGCUAAGCGAAAGUGAUAAGUAUCCCACCUGGGGAGUACGUUCGCAAGAAUGAAACUCAAAGGAAUUGACGGGGGCCCGCACAAGCGGUGGAGCAUGUGGUUUAAUUCGAUG